UACGGAGGAUGCAAGCGUUAUCCGGAUUCAUUGGGUUUAAAGGGUGCGCAGGCGGAGAGAUAAGUCAGUGGUGAAAAACUGCCGCUCAACGGUAGUCUUGCCAUUGAUACUGUCUUUCUUGAGUAUGGAUGAGGUAGGCGGAAUGUGCAGUGUAGCGGUGAAAUGCAUAGAUAUUGCACGGAACACCAAUUGCGAAGGCAGCUUACUGGACCAUUACUGACGCUCAGGCACGAAAGCGUGGGGAUCAAA
rnacentral:rRNA from 1 species